AGCGAACGCUGGCGGCAGGCCUAACACAUGCAAGUCGAACGAACCCUUCGGGGUUAGUGGCGGACGGGUGAGUAACACGUGGGAACGUGCCUUUAGGUUCGGAAUAACUCAGGGAAACUUGUGCUAAUACCGAAUGUGCCCUUCGGGGGAAAGAUUUAUCUCCUUUAGAGCGGCCCGCGUCUGAUUAGCUAGUUGGUGAGGUAAUGGCUCACCAAGGCUACGAUCAGUAGCUGGUCUGAGAGGAUGACCAGCUACAUUGGGACUGAGACACGGCCCAAACUCCUACGGGAGGCAGCAGUGGGGAAUCUUGCGCAAUGGGCGAAAGCCUGACGCAGCCAUGCCGCGUGGAUGAUGAAGGUCUUAGGAUUGUAAAAUCCUUUCACCGGUGAAGAUAAUGACUGUAGCCGGAGAAGAAGCCCCGGCUAACUUCGUGCCAGCCGCCGCAGUAAAAC
rnacentral:rRNA from 1 species